AUAAAGACCUGUCUGGUCCUUCCCCACUUCCCUAAUCCAUCUGUCUCCCUUGCUAUGUCUCUAAACCUUCUCCAGCCAGGACAUCGGAGGUACCCAGACAUUGUUAUGAAACUCCGCAUGUGCCCCUGGUGGACGCUGCUGGACCCAGCAUGCACACUUCUCGGCUAAGAGUCACCCUGGAUGAACCACCAUUGCCAGCGGGGAGCAUGUUGCAGCUUUCCCACGCAGUGGAUGAGAACGAAGGUUACGACCAUUGUGUGGGAGGCGUCUGUGUAGCAAUUGCUGGAAUCACUUGUGGCAUUGUAGAAAGACUGAGCGUGGGAAAGAAGACGCAUUCUGAAGUCACCCCGAUUUAUGUUAAAUUAUCACCUUGACUACUGCUAUAGAACGAAUGUUUAUGUCCCCCACCCAAAUUCGUAUGCUAAGACCUAAUAGCCAAUAAGAUAGUAUUAAUAGAUGGGGCCUUUGGGAGGUGAGUGGCUCAUGAGGGCAGAGUCCUCAAAACCAGAUAAGUGCCCGAAUAAAAGGGGCCCCAGAGAGAUCCCUUGCACCGUCUACCAUGUGAAGUGUAGAACACAGCGAGAAGGCCACCUAUGAGCCAGAACGUGGGCCCUCACCAGAACCCAGUUGUGCUGGCACCCUGAUCCUGGACUUCCAGCCUCCAAAAUGACGACAAAGAAGUUUGUUUUUCCUGAGCCAUCCACUUCAAAGUAUUCUGUCAUAGCUCCCCAAAUAGACU
rnacentral:lncRNA from 10 species